GGGGUCUCAGUGGAAGCCAGCGCCAUCUAGUGGUGGCGAAUGACAUUGGGCCCUCUACAAGUAUGGAACACCAGAUGAAGUUGGAUGAAGCCUAACAUUGCCUGCCCUGAAGUCAUCAGUUGAAGCUCUCUUGCCUGAGGAUACCUGAAGUGAAAGUGACUACAGGUUAUGCUUGUGUUUGGUGAAGCCUAACAUUGCCUGCCCUGAAUCAUCAGUUGAAGCUCUCUUGCCUGAGGAUACCUGAAGUGAAAGGGACAGAGUCCCUGUUUCAUACCGGAGAAGGACGGCUUGCAGAGGAACUGAGUAUGGAACAUCAGAUGAAGUGGAUGAAGCCUAACAUUGCCUGCCCUGAAGUCAUCAGUUGAAGCUCUCUUGCCUGAGGAUACCUGAAGUGAAAGCUCUACAGAAAUUUAUCACUAAACACUGAGAUGUAGCAGAGAACCUACAAAGGAUAGAUAGCCUCAAUCUUUAAGGCUCAAUGAGAAUCACCACAAAGACAUUUUAUUCUUCCUGAAGAUGCCUUCUAUGAUAACUUUGCAUGGAGAAGCUGGGCUAUUCUGAGAUGUCGGUUGCCUGAACAAUUCUUAGGCCUCAGAAGGAUGGCUAGACAACAUCUUUAUAAUAAAGAGUUGAGUCAUGCAAAUGACCUACUAUAGGAAUCUCUUCAGGUAAUAACUACUAGUAGGAAAUACCUGAAAGAAGACUCUUCAGACUAAUAUCUCAUCACCAUAUAUUAUCCUAAAGCAUAUUCUGAAGAUGAUAUCUACAGUGAUGAGUUGGAGUCAUAGAUGGUGCCACUUCUUCAACCAGCUAUAUCACCAAAACAAUCUUCAUUAUACAUGAUGAUGCCUCUUUCCUGUGUAGCAGCAGACACCACCUUCAGAUAAGAAAUGCUUAAGGGAUUUAAAGCAGUUUUGACACACUGAUUCCUUUCCCCUACUUCUCUCAGAUCCAUUUUUCUUCAUUACCUGUUCAAGUAUAUGUCCUCAUUUAUGAACUCACCAGCUUAGGUGACUGAAAAACAAACUUCAUCAGGGUGACACGAUAAACAUGAUUAAUCAAGAUGUCAUGACCCAAUAAUAAGUAAGAUUUCACGGGAAAAUAAAUCUCUAUGCUGAGAAAUAUUAUCAAAAAGUGGGCUCAUGGACUUGCACAUAGGAUGGGAAGACAACUCUUUGGUAGAAAUCGGAAAGAAAAUGGUAACAUGUGCUGUAUGCCAAGAAUAAACAUCUGGAAUAAAACAUGAGGCAUGCCCUCUUGGAACCAGAACCUCACAUCUAUCAGAGAACUGUCAUCUGGCAUCACCCCUGCAGUCCAGUAGAGCACUAUUCCCAGCUGGGGACCGAACCCAGGGCCUUGCGCUUCCUAGAGAGGACAGUCUUGAAAAUCAUGCAAGGUCUCGCCUUAUUCCACACAAGAGCACUGUGCCCUUGUAUCCUCUGCACUUGCAAGUGAGGAUUCAAAUUCUGAGGCAGUGUUGGCAGCCCAGGUAAGCCAUGGUGCUGGUGAAAUUAAAUUAGUGACAGUUGUGUCCUGCCUGUGUCUGGGUCAAUGAUGACAACAAAAGUCAAGAACAGGAGGAUGACAUAAAAUACAUGCUCAAUAGGAUUACGCUGAGGCCCAACCAGGGAGCCAGGGUUACAAGCACUACUUAGUCUCUUUGAAGACCACUUGCAGGACUCAUCUGAGCUGCUCUGAUGCCCUUGUGCUCUUUCCCCUCUGUGGGAACCUGGACAAUCUUAGUGCAACUGUGCUGGCAAACACUACCUGCCAACUAGCACCUAGUGUCCUAAUCUGCUUGUGUGCAAGUCUGCAACACCAACCCUGUCAUCAUUACCCACUCUUCUCUGAUGUCUUGCAGUCAUCUGGCAUCACCCCUGCAGUCCAGUGGAUCCCUAUUCCCAAGGAGGACCUUCUUCAAAUUCAAGCUAGGUCUCCCCUUAUUCCACACAAGAACACUGUGCCCUUGUAUCCUCUUCACUGCAAGUGAGCAUUCAAAUUCUGAGGCAGUGUUGGCAGCCCAGGGAAGCCAUGGUGCUGGUGAAAUUACAUUAU
rnacentral:sRNA from 1 species